rnacentral:rRNA from 1 species
UGCGCAGGCGGAAAUGUAAGUCAGUGGUGAAAUCCUACAGCUCAACUGUAGAACUGCCAUUGAUACUGCUUUUCUUGAGUAUAGUUGAGGUAGGCGGAAUGUGUAGUGUAGCGGUGAAAUGCAUAGAUAUUACACAGAACACCGAUUGCGAAGGCAGCUUACUAAACUAUUACUGACGCUCAUGCACGAAAGCGUGGGGAGCGAACAGGAUUAGAUACCCUGGUAGUCC